rnacentral:lncRNA from 1 species
AGUGCCGAGUGGCGCUGGGGCGUGUGCGGCGGCGGGCGACUGCGCGAGAGGAGCGGUUCGUCCUCCCUUCGGCGGCGACAAGCGAGACAGUUCGCACGAGUGCGGGGAUGGGGUCGGGGAAUGCGGGGAUGGGGGGAUGCCGUCGUGGGUUUUCCUGAUUUGUUUUCACCGAGCCUACAAGUAGGAGGAGGGUGGGGGAACGAGCGAACGAGUGGUCGAACCAUCACGACGUUUGAUCCUACUUUAAUAGUAGAGAUAGGUGGUGCUUGCUUUGGUGAGU